AUGCGCCAUGCCGCGUGUAUGAAGAAGGCCUUCGGGUUGUAAAGUACUUUCAGUUGUGAGGAAGGGGGUAGCGUUAAUAGCGCUAUCUCUUGACGUUAGCAACAGAAGAAGCACCGGCUAACUCCGUGCCAGCAGCCGCGGUAAUACGGAGGGUGCGAGCGUUAAUCGGAAUUACUGGGCGUAAAGCGCAUGCAGGUGGUUCAUUAAGUCAGAUGUGAAAGCCCGGGGCUCAACCUCGGAACUGCAUUUGAAACUGGUGAACUAGAGUACUGUAGAGGGGGGUAGAAUUUCAGGUGUAGCGGUGAAAUGCGUAGAGAUCUGAAGGAAUACCAGUGGCGAAGGCGGCCCCCUGGACAGAUACUGACACUCAGAUGCGAAAGCGUGGGGAGCAAACAGGAUUAGAUACCCUGGUAGUCCACGCCGUAAACGAUGUCUACUUGGAGGUUGUGGCCUUGAGCCGUGGCUUUCGGAGCUAACGCGUUAAGUAGACCGCCUGGGGAGUACGGUCGCAAGAUUAAAACUCAAAUGAAUUGACGGGGGCCCGCACAAGCGGUGGAGCAUGUGGUUUAAUUCGAUGCAACGCGAAGAACCUUACCUACUCUUGACAUCCAGAGAAUCCAGCGGAGACGCAGGAGUGCCUUCGGGAGCUCUGAGACAGGUGCUGCAUGGCUGUCGUCAGCUCGUGUUGUGAAAUGUUGGGUUAAGUCCCGCAACGAGCGCAACCCUUAUCCUUGUUUGCCAGCGAGUAAUGUCGGAACUCCAGGGAGACUGCCGGUGAUAAACCGGAGGAAGGGGGGGACGACGUCAAGUCUCAUGCCCCUUACGAGAAGGGGCUACACACGGUGCUACAAUGGCGCCAUACAAG
rnacentral:rRNA from 1 species